GCUGGGCGUGGUGGCAGGCGCCUGUAGUCCCAGCUACUCGGGAGGCUGAGGCAGGAGAAUGGCAUGAACCCGGGAGGUGGAGCUUGCAGUGAGCCGAGAUCGUGCCACUGCACUCCAGCCUAGGCGACAAGUGGGAGACUCUGUCUCAAAAAAAAUUAAUUAAUUUUUUUAUUUUUUUUUUUUUUUUUUUGAAGACAGUCUUGCUCUGUCACCCAGGCUGGAGUGCAGUGGCCAGAUCUCGGCUCACUGCAAGCUCCGCCUCCCGGGUUCAUGCCAUUCUCCUGCCUCAG
rnacentral:SRP_RNA from 1 species